rnacentral:lncRNA from 1 species
UAAGUAUUGACGAGGCAUUCGUUACUAUGAUGAGCAUGAAACUCCUGCCAAGAAUUCAUUUAACACGAUCGUUUAUAAGCGACCUCCACUACUUGUGAAUAUAAGUUUGUAACUAUUAGGUGAAACUCCCUUAUACUCUAGCAUCAUAUUCGUGCAUGCAAACUAAGUGUGCACUCUUAAUAAACAUACACGAAUAAGUUAUCAAUCAAGCAGUUAAACAAAUUGAAUUGACAACCUAUGAAAUCACAACUGAAGGUAAUCAAUUCAUAUUGCAAGUAUGUUCAUGGCUUUGAAUUCCCCCCUAGCUAUGGGGGUUUAGUUCCUCAUACUCACAAAGCAAAGAUAAACAAAUUUAGACAUUGAAAACAAAAGAAUGAAAACA